rnacentral:tRNA from 1 species
UGAGUUUGUUCAUACUUCAUUGGAAUAUGAAACAUGGGAUCUAAUACAACCUUGCCAAGGUUGGGGUCGCGGGUUCGAAUCCCGUACGGGUCAU